rnacentral:lncRNA from 1 species
AGGUGUUCACGGAUAAUGAAGCUGAUGUGAGAGCCCUGGAGAGAAACAUCAGUCAAAGCUUCCAUGGUUGGAAUGCUGAGCCAUUGCUAGGACGAUGAGGCUACAGGAAAGUGAAAUGCACCUGCUGCGAUCUGAUCCAACUGACCACUCCUGCUGCUCCUCCCUUGCACCUCAGGCAUCUCCUUCCAAUCUGGAGGAAACACUUUUACCUCCACUUUUCUUUUACAGUCCUCCAAACUCUGUUCCUUCUAGGGAGCACAAGUACAGAAAUAGAAACCUGGACUCCCAUCAUCCUGCUUCACAAACUUACAAUGUUAAAGAAAGAAAAAAAAAAAGACCAAGUACAUUACCUGGUAGAAUUGGAGAGAUGGGCACGAAAGAGCUGUAAAUACAGUUAGAAAACACACUAGCAUUUACAAAUGUGUAUGAGAAACAAUGAGGAGGAUUUUCAGAGACUAUCAUAACCAUUUAUUUUUCUAAUAUGUGAUAAGUAAACGCACAGAAAAUCAAUUUAAUAUUUGGGGCUUUUAUUUCUCAUUUUUUAGAUUGCCAGAAAGACUGUCCAGUGUUAUAAAGUUUGUGUCAAUAUUCUGGAAUUGGCAAUUUUGUCAUUUAUAUGGGAGAAAUAGCUAAAGGUGUAGUAUAAAGUAUUUGCUCGUAGGUAAUGGAAUGUUACCUUUACCCAAAGAUAUAAAAAAUAAACGGUAGAACAAA